rnacentral:rRNA from 1 species
GACGUAGGGUGCGAGCGUUGUCCGGAUUUAUUGGGCGUAAAGAGCUCGUAGGCGGCUCGUCGCGUCGACCGUGAAAACCCGCGGCUUAACUGUGGGCGUGCGGUCGAUACGGGCAUCACUGGAGUUCGGCAGGGGAGACUGGAAUUCCUGGUGUAGCGGUGAAAUGCGCAGAUAUCAGGAGGAACACCGGUGGCGAAGGCGGGUCUCUGGGCCGAUACUGACGCUGAGGUGCGAAAGCGUGGGGAGCAAACAGG